UUUUUUUUCCUUUUCAGGGCAUUUUUUGCACUAUUUCAAAUGGAUGUGUCACGUGUCACGAGUUGAUAGGUGGUAUUUGAAAAUGGUCAUGUAACAUGCUACGAAUGUGGCACUGUCCCCUAACUUUGAUGACAACCAUUUUGUUUUUUUUGUUUUUAUUAUUUUUUUUGUUUUUAUUAUUUUUUUUUGUAUUUUAUCUCUUUUACUUAUUUUAGUUAAAAUAAAAUGUAGGUUGAUUCCAUGGGCUUGAUUUCAACAUGUUGGCUCAAGUCCAUUAAAUUUCUGGUUGCACCCCUGCCUACUUUAUGCACCAUUUUCUUUUUCUUUUAUUUAUUUAUUUUAGUUUUGGUUUAUAUUACUUCUUGAGUAAUUUAUUUAUAUUAGUGUAAGACCC
rnacentral:lncRNA from 1 species